GAACUAUCAAAAUGCAACAGCAUUUGUUAUCACCAAUGUUGUCAGUAACCAUGUGAAUGAAGAGGAUAACAAGAAGGCGGAGGCAUGGGAGGUGGAGUUAAUCAAGUUUUUCAAAAACUACAAAAAUCCAAAUAUGACAGUUUCCUUCUCCGCAGAGCGAUCAAGGAUGAACUGGACCGUGAGUGCAGGUCAGAUGUGUGGACUACUGAACUGAAUUACUUAAUCAUGUUUGGAUACAUAAGGAUAGCACUCCAGGGUCAGUUUCAUGGCCUUGACUCAGUCUGAUUGAUUCAAAACUGACAUUGGGACUGAGUGGUGUAACAACAGUUUUAUUAUUUGUGGCCUCAUCAGUUUGUUUCUAUAGUUACUGCAGCGUUCCAGUGACCUUGAUUUUUAUAGAGGUUGUAUCAUUCCUCAUGCUGGCUGUUGGCAUAGACAACAUCUUUAUACUUGUGUAGAUUUAUCAGGUUGAAAGCAAAAAAGAAGAGGUAGAUGAAGGAAGAGAGAGCAAGAAGUGGAAGAGAUAUCCAUCUUUCAACAACUUGCCAAGAUAUUGCCGUGUAGUGAAGAAGUCUGGUGAAUGUUGCCCAGUAGUUCAGUGUCAGGAUGGAUACUUCUUUUCCUCAUCCACAAACCUCGGUUCCCUAGCUAACGGCUUUGCUCUAAGUGUUUCUAACCCUCCAGCAGUUGUAGGAAAAAAACAAGUGCAGCCAACUUUACCAUCAGGGGAGGUGUUGCCACUGGGAGCUGGUAGUACAGGCUUUACGGCACCAACAAUAAAUGGAUGUUUAUAUUAAAGGACAGUUGUACAUUAAGGACCAGGCUUGGGAAGAUGGAUGUGAAUUUUCUUGUAUCAGCAAGGAUGCCAGUACAGGACUUUAUUCAUGCAAACACAAACAUUCCUUCUCGACCAUGCUGUUGUCAGAGAAAAGUUCAUGCAAUUGAAGGAACGUUGGUUCCUGUCUCUCAAGUUCAAAAUAUAGCACCAUUGAGGAGGAGAUAGUAUCUACACCAGGACGGCCACUUGUCAGAGGAGGCCCUAUUACAGCUCUAUAUUGGGAUGAUGUCAGCUUCUCAGAGCUGUAUCAGCAGGGGACGGACAAAAUGUUGCCAAGUAAGGCAUACUCAAAGGACAGUUCAGCAUAUUGCUCAUCACAAUCAAUUGGAUUCACACUAAAAACGUCAACAAGUGAAAAUCCAAUUACAUCUGCAAGUUCAAUUGUCAGUAUGCCUAAAAGCUCAGCAUCUGAUGCUGGUGAGGGAAGUAAGUUAGUCUGGAACCAUAGCAGAAACUGCUGAAAUUGAGGACAUUCCUGGUGAUGAAGGGUAGAUUGCGGGAGCUGUAGAUUGGAGAGGAAACACAAAAAAUGUACUCUUGGUUCAACAAGGGGCAGAGCAGCCUUCUAGAUGACACCCUUAAAAUUGUGUCAUUGAACACUAUUUAUAUAUAAUGUCUUUG
rnacentral:lncRNA from 1 species